UGAAAACAUGAUACUUGUGAGUCUUAUACGCUAUGUGAACGUUGAAUCAUGUGUUUAGCCAACCUUAACAGUUAUAGCGCUUUAGGGUUAACGCACCGCCCUUUAAACUUGGGGUAUUGUUAAGUUUGAUUCUUUUACCUCCUCUUCGUGGCAACGAUGUAGGAAAGGCACAGUUAACGCGUUGGGAACUUAGGUUAACAUAUUGAUCACGUGAGCUUAGCAUGUUGAUACUUGUAAUAUGUUAUUCAUGUUGGACAUGAGAUUCACAUUUUAAACUAUUUAUGCUAUGUUGAUAGUCGCAGUGAAUCAAGAAUCAAGCUAGGGUGACCUUACAUACACACCUUAGAUAAAAACAAUAUUUUGGUCAUGUUUGAAAUUUUGGAAUGUUUUUGAUACAAUUUUGAUCGUGUUUGGUUUGUAUGACAAUUUAGAUAUGAUUAUGAAAAUUUGAUUAAUCU
rnacentral:lncRNA from 1 species